rnacentral:rRNA from 1 species
CAGCAGCCGCGGUAAUACAGAGGUCUCAAGCGUUGUUCGGAUUCAUCGGGCGUAAAGGGUGCGUAGGUGGCUUGGUAAGUUGAAGGUGAAAUCUCGGGGCUUAACUCCGAAACUGCCUUCAAUACUGCUGAGCUCGAGGAUUGUAGAGGAGAAUGGAAUUCACGGUGUAGCAGUGAAAUGCGUAGAUAUCGUGAGGAAGACCAGUGGCGAAGGCGAUUCUCUGGGCAAUUCCUGACACUGAGGCACGAAGGCCAGGGGAGCAAACGGGAUUAGAGACCCCGGUAGUCCCUGUCUCUUAUAC